UACGGAGGGUGCGAGCAUUGUCCGGAAUCACUGGGCGUAAAGCGUGCGCAGGCGGUUUGUUAAGACAGAUGUGAAAUCCCCGGGCUUAACCUGGGAACUGCAUUUGUGACUGGCAAGCUAGAGUAUGGCAGAGGGGGGUAGAAUUCCACGUGUAGCAGUGAAAUGCGUAGAGAUGUGGAGGAAUACCGAUGGCGAAGGCAGCCCCCUGGGCCAAUACUGACGCUCAUGCACGAAAGCGUGGGGAGCAAACAGG
rnacentral:rRNA from 1 species